GAUGAAGAACGUAGCGAAAUGCGAUAAGUAAUGUGAAUCGCAGAAUUCAGUGAAUCAUCGAAUCUUUGAACGCACCUUGCGCCUUUUGGUAUUCCGAAAGGCACACCUGUUUGAGCGUCAUGAAUACCUCAAUCUCCAUCUUUUCUUCGGAUUGAUGGGUGACUUGGAUGUUGAGCCCUGCUGGUAUGCUAUAUCAGCUGGCUUUAAACUUAUUAGCCGGCUCUGUACUGGAUCGGUUUGACUCGACGUGAUAAUAUUAUCGUUGAGGAUGCAUGUCUCAUGCAGCCGGAAAGUAUCAAAGCAGCUUCUAGCUUGCCUUUAGUGCACUUUUACAUUUUAGACCUCAGAUCAGGUGGGACUACCCGCUGAACUUAAGCAUAUCAAUAAGCGGAGGA
rnacentral:misc_RNA from 1 species